rnacentral:rRNA from 1 species
UACGUAAGGGGCAAGCGUUGUCCGGAAUCACUGGGCGUAAAGCGCACGUAGGCGGUUUACCAAGUUGGGGGUGUAAGCUCUGGGCCUAACCCAGAAAUUGCCUCCAAAACUAGCAUACUUGAGUAUUAGAGGGGAAGCUGGAAUUCACGGUGUAGCGGUGAAAUGCGUAGAUAUCGUGGAGAACACCCGUGGCGAAGGCGGGCUUCUGGCUAAUUACUGACGCUGAGGUGCGAAAGCUAGGGGAGCGAACGGG